rnacentral:rRNA from 1 species
UACGUAGGGUGCGAGCGUUGUCCGGAAUUAUUGGGCGUAAAGAGCUUGUAGGCGGUUUGUCGCGUCUGCUGUGAAAUCUCAAGGCUCAACCUUGAGCUUGCAGUGGGUACGGGCAGACUAGAGUGUGGUAGGGGAGACUGGAAUUCCUGGUGUAGCGGUGAAAUGCGCAGAUAUCAGGAGGAACACCGAUGGCGAAGGCAGGUCUCUGGACCACUACUGACGCUGAGAAGCGAAAGCAUGGGGAGCGAACAGG